UACUCACCAACCUUUAUUGAGUACGUUUAGAUACUGGGAUUAGAAGAUGAUGUCAUUAGACAUUUCUUUGGUUUUAGCUUCUGCGGGUUUGAUCAAGGAGUUUAUUCAGUAUUUUAAAUCUUCCCCCAAAUCUGGCUUAACUCUUUUCCUUAAGAGUGCUUUGUGUUUGUUUCUUUUACUUAGCCCUUUGAGGUGGACCUUUCUCACGUGUAUCUUGCCUAUACUGAGGAGAGUCUGCGUCAGUCUUUGAUGAAACUAGAAAGACCACGAACUUCAAAGGGGAAAGCAAGGCCAAAGACAGGGAGAAGAAAGCGUUCUGCAAAGCCUGAAACUGUAAUUGACUCUUUACUGCAGUAAAUGUUACAGACUUAAAGUCACAAUAAAAAUUAGUGAUAUUCUCAUGCCUGGACAAAAUCUUUAAUUAAAACAGUGAAGACUUCUCU
rnacentral:sRNA from 1 species